UGCUUUCAUGGACCGCAUGGGGGGAUUAUUUUCUUGAGUAAGAACAACUUACCAGGGCUGGAGAGAUGGCUCAGCCGUUAAAGGCUAGGCUCACAACCAAAAAUAUA
rnacentral:miRNA from 14 species